GCCACGGUGACGAGCGAGCGCUUCAGAAGGUGAACACGAGGGUGCCGUCCACGCUGCUACAGAGGGCUUUUCCGGCUCCCCGGCGUUCGAAGAAGACAUGCACUAGGCGGCUGAAUUCCGAGAUGGGGAACACGGCAGGUACCCGGUUCGUUUUGCAAGGGAGAUCGGUGCUGCCUCGGCACAGGCCAACGACAACAACAACAACAACAACGACAACAACGACAACAACGACAACAACGACAACAACAACGACAACAACAACGACAACGUCAAAGUGGAUCGUGCGUAGGAAUGGGCAACAUCGGAACAGGACGCAUCGCAGGUAACAAUACGGCUAAUACAGACAUGUGAAAGAGUGGAGACUAAAUCCACAGACUUAAACUUGACUGAACUUCCACUGGCUCUUGGUGACUCGACGAGGACUCAAGAGAAUAACCUGCCGACUAAAUUCACACCGCUUGGAAGGUCGCUGAUAUCGAUCCGGACUCCCACAUCAAGCUCGGCACAGUGGAGGAGAGAACCAGAGGCUGCAGCGGAAGAAGCUGCGUGUGGGAGGGUUCAGGACCGAGGCCAGACGAAGAAUGUGUUCAGGAUGUGUUCAGCACGCAGAGAGCCUCUGGUGGGAGUGUGGAACCGACUGCCCACGCAACACGCCAUGGAAGCUGAUCCACCGGGACCCUUCAAGAAGCGCCUUGAUGUGAUUCGAGACCCGAUCUGCUACGAACAACCAAACGAGCUGCGUAGACCACCGAAUGUACUUUCUCGCCAUCCUCUCGUUUCUAAAACUGUCUUGCGUUCUGACGUUCUUAUGCCCCGUGCUGUGCACUUGUUGCAGUCGCUGAUCAUUUCCUAAGCUGGUUUGCUGGUGCAAGAGGCACAUUUGUGGCGAACGGCGUCAUGGGAUGCCGUGAUGUUCACGCUGUAGCAGAUGGGCUGUGUCCUCUGGAGAGCAGUGCUCGUGUUUGAGAGUGUUCCUGCAGGACUCCAUCACACACGCGUGUGUGUGACGGUGUGUGUCUGUGGGUAUUGUGUGUUUCCACUGGGGAGCGGUAGUGUAGCGGGUCGCGCACUGUGCUACCACCCCGGCGACCCGAGUUCGAUUCCCGCUUAUGACCAACAUCAGUGACGAUUAUCUGAAUCAGUCCUGGGCCUCCCAGAGGUCGACUCAGCCUCAAAUUGGUACAUGGUGCGUUGUGUAAACAUUGCUCCUGGAGAGACAAAGGCGGUCGGGCGUCGUGCUGGCUUUCAUAGGUGCUCGCUAACAGCACUUUCCCCAACGGUCUGUUCAAGCUAUACAGGAGAUCUUUGUCUUUGUGUACAAUGUACACUGAAAUUGGAGCGUCGUGAUUUUGCAGACUGCAAAACUUGGACGAAGAUGCAAGGUCAAAGCAAAGAAUAUUAAAAGUAUAAAUGUAUUUUUUUUGUAAAGAGAAUACAAUUCAUGAACU